rnacentral:rRNA from 1 species
UACGUAGGGUGCAAGCGUUAAUCGGAAUUACUGGGCGUAAAGCGUGCGCAGGCGGUUAUGCAAGACAGAUGUGAAAUCCCCGGGCUCAACCUGGGAACUGCAUUUGUGACUGCAUAGCUAGAGUACGGUAGAGGGGGAUGGAAUUCCGCGUGUAGCAGUGAAAUGCGUAGAUAUGCGGAGGAACACCGAUGGCGAAGGCAAUCCCCUGGAUCUGUACUGACGCUCAUGCACGAAAGCGUGGGGAGCAAACAGG